AAGCGAGGGGCACGCGACCUAAAGCUGGCAGUAUUUUACAUAGUUGGUUUAUUCUUUAGCGAACUUUCUGGAUUCUUUACUUCUGACUGGAUCAACCUUAGAGCACUCAGUAUUUUAUGGUGGGGACCAACGUGAUGGGAAUGAUAUCUGCAAAAUAUGGAGAUGUCUGGAGCAUUGUUCCAAGUUUUUUGCCUUAUAGGGAUGAGACAAGAGGAACCUUCUCAUUGUUGGGGCAGUUCUAUUGAUACAGACUCUUUGGUGGAGG